GAUGAAGAACGUAGCGAAAUGCGAUAAGUAAUGUGAAUUGCAGAAUUCAGUGAAUCAUCGAAUCUUUGAACGCACAUUGCGCCCGUCAGUAUUCUGGCGGGCAUGCCUGUUCGAGCGUCAUUACGCCCCUCAAGUUCCCUGUGGACUUGGUGUUGGGGAUCGGCGAGGCUGGUUUUCCAGCACAGCCGUCCCUUAAAUUAAUUGGCGGUCUCGCCGUGGCCCUCCUCUGCGCAGUAGUAAAACACUCGCAACAGGAGCCCGGCGCGGUCCACUGCCGUAAAACCCCCCAACUUUUUAUAGUUGACCUCGAAUCAGGUAGGACUACCCGCUGAACUUAAGCAUAUCAAUAAGCGGAGGA
rnacentral:misc_RNA from 1 species